GAGAGAGGCUUUCUAUUGCAGAAAAUAAAAAGGAAAAAAGGGAGAAGAAAAUAAAGGAGAAACCAGAUUAGUAUCAUUAUUCUUCGGAGAGAAACCCACUCACCUUCUCCCUCAACCAUAAGUGUAAUCUUCUUAUGAAUUUAUUGAAAGGGAUUUUAUCAUUGAUUGUUGUUUCGUAUCGAGUAAAAAACCCAAUCAAAAACUCAGCAACUACUUACUGCAGAGCAUCACCCAACCUCAACUUCACUAAAAUUAAGGAGGAGAGAAGAAACCAAAUAUGGUAUAGUUAGAGCUGUAUAAAAUAUGACUUGGACCGUGUGCAAUCCUUAACAAGGUUUUUUUAUUUCCCAAUGCUUGUAUCAUAAUUAUUGAAUAAAAAACAUCUAAGCAUA
rnacentral:lncRNA from 1 species